CAAGAUGGCCCCUGAAACUUGAGAUAGAAGGGAGAGGAGACCAUACAUGCAGGGAAAAAACGGAAGAUAAAAUGACAAACAGUAGAAAACAUCAAUGCUUUCAAACAUUUAAGUCUAUUUGUAAAAUAAAAAAUCAAGUAACUGAAGCUGACUGCCUAGUCCCUUCUGAAACAACUAUACCACCCACCCAGGAUGAUCCAGGAUAAAAGCUGUGCCGUAAGAGGGGUGAAGUGUUCACAAAGUCCCUUCUGUAACACCUAUAUUGUCCCCAGCUGUAAGUCCAAAGAGGGAUGAAGUUAGUCGCAUAGUCCCUUCUGCAAAACCUAUACCUUCCGGAGCAGCGGAACCAGCAUCAUGAUUGUCCUCACUGACCCCAGUACCCCAUGCCGGGUUUAUGCCACCCUGUGUAUCCUAUGUGCCUUGUUUAUUAUACCAGCCUGGAUUUUAUCCCUGAUAAUAUGGUCCCCAAUGGUAAGGUCACCCUAGCUAUAAAGAAAUUGGAAUAUCUAUCCAUUGAGCUUAAAAAGAACUCUGGCAUUGAUAACCCAUGGGACAAAUUAUUUACUGGUUCAGGUCUUCUAGUCCUAAGGUAGUCAUGAUUAUGACUAAAGAGGGGAAUUGUCAGGUAGUAUUGCCUAUUUGCACGCACUCUUUCAUUCCACACCACUUGUAAUAUUAUGUGCUUCCACACCACUUGUAAUAUUAUGUGCUUUCAUUCCACAUUGCUAAUAUUAUGUGCCUGUCUGUGCUUCACAGACAGUUCCUGUUUCUUCUGGCACAACGCCCAGAGCUAAGACACAUGACCUAUAUGCUACAUCUUUUUUCAGCUAUCACAAAUGUAUAGUUUCAUUUUAGUUUCAUUUCUCACAAAUAAUGUUAUAUCAAAAAAGGCUAUAAGGCUGUAUGCUAUACAAAUAAUAUUUUGUUACGUAUCGGAUGCCUACAUGCAUCCCACAUUAUAUAAGUUGCUACCAGCACCCACAAUAAACGAGCACUUGCUAAUGACAA